UACGGGGGGGGCAAGCGUUGUUCGGAAUUACUGGGCGUAAAGGGCUCGUAGGCGGCCAACUAAGUCAGACGUGAAAUCCCUCGGCUUAACCGGGGAACUGCGUCUGAUACUGGAUGGCUUGAAUCCGGGAGAGGGAUGCGGAAUUCCAGGUGUAGCGGUGAAAUGCGUAGAUAUCUGGAGGAACACCGGUGGCGAAGGCGGCAUCCUGGACCGGCAUUGACGCUGAGGAGCGAAAGCCAGGGGAGCGAACAGG
rnacentral:rRNA from 1 species